AUUGAACGCUGGCGGCAGGCCUAACACAUGCAAGUCGAACGGUAGCACAGAGGAGCUUGCUCCUUGGGUGACGAGUGGCGGACGGGUGAGUAAUGUCUGGGAAACUGCCCGAUGGAGGGGGAUAACUACUGGAAACGGUAGCUAAUACCGCAUAACGUCUUCGGACCAAAGUGGGGGACCUUCGGGCCUCACACCAUCGGAUGUGCCCAGAUGGGAUUAGCUAGUAGGUGGGGUAAUGGCUCACCUAGGCGACGAUCCCUAGCUGGUCUGAGGGGAUGACCGGCCACAAUGGAACUGAGACACGGGCCAGACUCCUACGGGAGGCAGCAGUGGGGAAUAUUGCACAAUGGGCGCAAGCCUGAUGCAGCCAUGCCGCGUGUAUGAAGAAGGCCUUCGGGUUGUAAAGUACUUUCAGCGGGGAGGAAGGCGUUAAGGUUAAUAACCUUGGCGAUUGACGUUACCCGCAGAAGAAGCACCGGCUAACUCCGUGCCAGCCGCCGCAGUAA
rnacentral:rRNA from 1 species